GACAAACGCUGGCGGCGUACCUAAGACAUGCAAGUCGAACGGGCACUCCGUCUUCGGAUGGAGUCGCGAGUGGCGAACGGGUGAGUAACACGUAGGAACCUGUCGCACAGUGGGGGAUAACGGCGGGAAACCGGCGCUAAUACCGCAUGUGGUCACCUUUCGGGGUGAAGAAAGGCGCAAGUCGCUGUGUGAGGGGCCUGCGGCCGAUUAGCUGGUUGGUGGGGUAACGGCCUACCAAGGCUGCGAUCGGUAGCUGGUCUGAGAGGAUGGUCAGCCACACUGGGACUGAGACACGGCCCAGACUCCUACGGGAGGCAGCAGUUAGGAAAUUUUCCCAAUGGGGCAACCCUGAGGGAGUAACGCCGCGUGGAGGAUGACGGCCUUCGGUUGUUAAC
rnacentral:rRNA from 1 species